rnacentral:rRNA from 1 species
AAACGAGUUAACUGAACCUUCGGGGGACGUUAACGGCGUCGAGCGGCGGACGGGUGAGUAAUGCCUGGGAAAUUGCCCUGAUGUGGGGGAUAACCAUUGGAAACGAUGGCUAAUACCGCAUAAUAGCUUCGGCUCAAAGAGGGGGACCUUCGGGCCUCUCGCGUCAGGAUAUGCCCAGGUGGGAUUAGCUAGUUGGUGAGGUAAAGGCUCACCAAGGCGACGAUCCCUAGCUGGUCUGAGAGGAUGAUCAGCCACACUGGAACUGAGACACGGUCCAGACUCCUACGGGAGGCAGCAGUGGGGAAUAUUGCACAAUGGGCGCAAGCCUGAUGCAGCCAUGCCGCGUGUAUGAAGAAGGCCUUCGGGUUGUAAAGUACUUUCAGUCGUGAGGAAGGUGAUGUAGUUAAUAACUGCAUCAUUUGACGUUAGCGACAGAAGAAGCACCGGCUAACUCCGUGCCAGCAGCCGCGGUAAUACGGAAGGGUGCGAGCGUUAAUCGGAUUACUGGGCGUAANGCGC